rnacentral:rRNA from 1 species
GUGCACGCUGGCGGUAGGCCUAACACAUGCAAGUCGAACGGCAGCACAGUAAGAGCUUGCUCUUACGGGUGGCGAGUGGCGGACGGGUGAGGAAUACAUCGGAAUCUACUUUUUCGUGGGGGAUAACGUAGGGAAACUUACGCUAAUACCGCAUACGACCUACGGGUGAAAGCAGGGGAUCUUCGGACCUUGCGCGAUUGAAUGAGCCGAUGUCGGAUUAGCUAGUUGGCGGGGUAAAGGCCCACCAAGUCGACGAUCCGUAGCUGGUCUGAGAGGAUGAUCAGCCACACUGGAACUGAGACACGGUCCAGACUCCUACGGGAGGCAGCAGUGGGGAAUAUUGGACAAUGGGCGCAAGCCUGAUCCAGCCAUACCGCGUGGGUGAAGAAGGCCUUCGGGUUGUAAAGCCCUUUUGUUGGGAAAGAAAAGCAGCAGGUUAAUACCCCGCUGUUCUGACGGUACCCAAAGAAUAAGCACCGGCUAACUUCGUG